CGGAGUGCGGCAGCUAUAAUGCAGUCGAGCGGACCGAACGGAAGCUUGCUUCUGUUCGGUUAGCGGCGGACGGGUGAGUAACACGUGGGUAACCUGCCUGUAGGGCCGGUAUAUCUCCGGAUCGGUACUCGAUACCGAGCCCAUGUCUGUGACGUGCUUGUACACUACGAUGCGGGCGUUAGCUAGUUGUAGUACGCUCACACGCACGAUCUUAGCGCUUGGAGGGGACCGGCCACAUUGGACUGGAAGGCCCAGACCUACGGAGCAGCAGUAGGAAUCUCCGCAUGGACGAAAGUCUGACGAGGACGCGCUGAGCGAGACGUCUCGGAUCGUAAGCUCUGUUGUUAGGAAGAAGAAGUACCGUUCGAAUAGGGCGGUACGGUGACGGUACCUAACGAGAAAGCCCGGCUAAUUACGUGCCAGCAGCCGCGGUAUUACGUAGGGGGCGAGCGUUGUCCGGAAUUAUUUGGCGUAAAGCGCGCGCAGGCGGUCCCUUAAGUUUGAUGUGAAAGCCCACGUCUCAACCGUGGAGGGUCAUUGGAAACUGGGGGACUUGAGUGCAGAAGAGGAGAGCGGAAUUCCACGUGUAGCGGUGAAAUGCGUAGAGAUGUGGAGGAACACCAGUGGGGAAGGGGGUUUUUUGUUCUGUAACUGACGCUGAGGCGCGAAAGCGUGGGGAGCAACCAGGAUUAGAUACCCUGGUAGUCCACGCCGUAAACGAUGAGUGUUAAGUUUUAGAGGGGUUAACCCCUUUAGUGCUGUAGUUAACGCGUUAAGCACUCCGCCUGGGGAGUACGGCCGCAAGGCUGAAACUCAAAGGAAUUGACGGGGGCCCGCACAAGCGGUGGAGCAUGUGUUUAUUUGGAAGCAACGCGAAGACCUUUCCAGGUCUUGACAUCCCCUGACACCCUGGGAACAGGCUUUCCCCUUCUGGGGACAGGUGACAGUGUGCAUGUGUCGUCAGCUCUGUCGUGAAUGUUGGUAGUCCGCACGAGGCAUCUCGCUCUAGUUGCAGCAUCGUGCACUCUAGGGGACUGCGGUAAGUCGAGGAGUGGAUAGCUAAUCUCAUGCCUUAGACCUGGCUACACACGUGCUACAAUGGGCGGUACAAAGGGCUGCGAACCCGCGAGGGGGAGCGAAUCCCAAAAAGCCGCUCUCAGUUCGGAUUGCAGGCUGCAACUCGCCUGCAUGAAGCCGGAAUCGCUAGUAAUCGCGGAUCAGCAUGCCGCGUAAUCGUUG
rnacentral:rRNA from 1 species